AGAGUUUGAUCCUGGCUCAGGAUGAACGCUAGCGGCAGGCUUAACACAUGCAAGUCGAGGGGUAAAUAUAGCAAUAUAUGAGACCGGCAAACGGGUGCGGAACGCGUACGCAAUCUACCCUUGUCUGGGGCAUAGCCCGGAGAAAUCCGGAUUAACUCCCCAUAGGAUAGUAGAGGGGCAUCUCUCAGCUAUUAAAAAUUUAUUGGACAAGGAUGAGCGUGCGUCCCAUUAGCUAGUUGGUAGGGUAACGACCUACCAAGGCGACGAUGGGUAGCUGGUGUGAGAGCACGACCAGCCACACGGGCACUGAGACACGGGCCCGACUCCUACGGGAGGCAGCAGUGAGGAAUAUUGGUCAAUGGACGCAAGUCUGAACCAGCCAUGCCGCGUGAAGGAUGAAGGCCUUCUGGGUUGUAAACUUCUUUUAUGUGGGAAGAAACCACCUUUUUCUAAGGGUGUUGACGGUACCAUAGGAAUAAGCACCGGCUAACCCCGUGCCAGCAGCCGCGGUAAUACGGAGGGUGCAAGCGUUAUCCGGAUUUACUGGGUUUAAAGGGUGUGUAGGCGGGCCUUUAAGUCAGUGGUGAAAUCUCCGGGCUUAACCUGGAAACUGCCAUUGAUACUAUUGGUCUUGAAUUUUGUUGAGGUAGGCGGAAUAAGUCAUGUAGCGGUGAAAUGCAUAGAUAUGACUUAGAACACCGAUUGCGAAGGCAGCUUGCUAAACAAACAUUGACGCUGANGCACGAAAGCGUGGGGAUCAAACAGGAUUAGAUACCCUGGUAGUCCACGCCCUAAACGAUGAUUACUCGACAUACGCGAUACACUGUGUGUGUCUGAGCGAAAGCAUUAAGUAAUCCACCUGGGAAGUACGACCGCANGGUUGAAACUCAAAUGAAUUGA
rnacentral:rRNA from 1 species